GACAGAGGGUGCAAACGUUGUUCGGAAUUACUGGGCGUAAAGCGCGUGUAGGCGGCUCUGCAAGUCGGAUGUGAAAGCCCUGGGCUCAACCUAGGAAGUGCACUCGAAACUGCAGAGCUUGAGUCUCGGAGAGGAUCGCGGAAUUCUCGGUGUAGAGGUGAAAUUCGUAGAUAUCGAGAGGAACACCAGCGGCGAAGGCGGCGCUCUGGGCCGGUACUGACACUGAGGAGCGAAAGCGUGGGGAUCAAACAGG
rnacentral:rRNA from 1 species